UCUAAAUGGGUAAGAAAGCCCCAAAUAUUCUAUUGAAACAAGAGUCCAAGAACCCAAAAAACCCACCAGGCCACGAUAAUCAUUAGGAUUCGUCCUUCUCUCCCAUUGGUUUCAUCCAUGGGAGAAUUCGAGUUUGAAGUUGAACGUCUAACAUUCCCGCUGUUUUCUAAGGAUGUGGGAAUGACGGGAAAGCCUGCAGGAUUUGGAAUUUUACAAAUGGCGGUUUUGAUUAUCUGCAGAAAACAAAAGUCAUAUCCAUAAAGCAGUACCAGUUAUGCUCACAGCUGGAGGUGCAGAUUCCAGUCAUCGCCGUAUGAUAUUGCUGGUUAGUUUAAUUUUAAGAUCUUGUGUGUUCGUAAUAUAUUGUCAAAUUUAAUUGUUAUAAGUGGUUAUUUAAGAGUUAGAUCGAGUAGUACUCGAUUUCGAUUAAUCUAAUCAUAUUUAGACAUCUCCGCAAUCACAACUCAUUUUAAUUUAAAAUUAUCAAAUAAUCAAACAAGACAAGCAAACAGAAACCAUACAACAGCAACAAAACAAGAAAAUAAUAGAUU